rnacentral:tRNA from 1 species
GCCUGGCUGGCUCAGUCGAUAGAGCAUGCAAUUCUUGAUCUUAGGGUUAUGAGUUCGAGCCCCAUGUUGGGUG